rnacentral:rRNA from 1 species
UACGUAGGUGGCAAGCGUUAUCCGGAUUUAUUGGGCGUAAAGGGAACGCAGGCGGUCUUUUAAGUCUGAUGUGAAAGCCUUCGGCUUAACCGGAGUAGUGCAUUGGAAACUGGGAGACUUGAGUGCAGAAGAGGAGAGUGGAACUCCAUGUGUAGCGGUGAAAUGCGUAGAUAUAUGGAGAACACCAGUGGCGAAAGCGGCUCUCUGGUCUGUAACUGACGCUGAGGUUCGAAAGCGUGGGUAGCAAACAGG